AUACGGAGGGUGCAAGCGUUACUCGGAAUCACUGGGCGUAAAGCGCGCGCAGGCGGCGAUUUAAGUUGGAUGUGAAAGCCUACGGCUCAACCGUAGAACUGCAUCCAAAACUAUUUAGCUAGAGUGUGGGAGAGGAAGAUGGAAUUAGUUGUGUAGGGGUAAAAUCCGUAGAGAUAACUAGGAAUACCAAAAGCGAAGGCAAUCUUCUGGAACACUACUGACGCUGAGGCGCGAAAGCGUGGGGAGCAAACGGGAUUAGAUACCCCUGUAGUCC
rnacentral:rRNA from 1 species